rnacentral:rRNA from 1 species
UUAGAGUUUGAUCCUGGCUCAGGACGAACGCUGGCGGCGUGCUUAACACAUGCAAGUCGAGCGAAUGAAGUUCCUUUGGGAACGGAUUUAGCGGCGGACGGGUGAGUAACACGUGGGCAACCUGCCUCAUAGAGGGGAAUAGCCUUCCGAAAGGGAGAUUAAUACCGCAUAAGAUUGUAGUACCGCAUGGUACAGCAAUUAAAGGAGCAAUCCGCUAUGAGAUGGGCCCGCGGCGCAUUAGCUAGUUGGUGAGGUAACGGCUCACCAAGGCGACGAUGCGUAGCCGAUCUGAGAGGAUGGCCGGCCACACUGGAACUGAGACACGGUCCAGACUCCUACGGGAGGCAGCAGUGGGGAAUAUUGCACAAUGGGGGAAACCCUGAUGCAGCAACGCCGCGUGGAGGAAGAAGGUUUUCGGACUGUAAACUCCUGUCUUUUGGGAAGAUAAUGACGGUACCAAAAGAGGAAGCCACGGCUAACUACGUGCCAGCAGCCGCGGUAAUACGUAGGUGGCGAGCGUUGUCCGGAAUUACUGGGCGUAAAGGGCGCGUAGGCGGUUAAUCAAGUCAGGUGUGAAACUCCAGGGCUUAACCCUGGGCUUGCACAUGAAACUGGUUAGCUCGAGUGUCGGAGAGGAAAGCGGAAUUCCUAGUGUAGCGGUGAAAUGCGUAGAUAUUAGGAGGAACACCAGUGGCGAAGGCGGCUUUCUGGACGAUAACUGACGCUGAGGCGCGAAAGCGUGGGGAGCAAACAGGAUUAGAUACCCUGGUAGUCCACGCUGUAAACGAUGGAUACUAGGUGUGGGAGGUAUCAACCCUUUCCGUGCCGGAGUAAA